rnacentral:tRNA from 1 species
UGGGACGUAGCUCAAUCGGCAGAGCGUGCGACUGUUAAUCGUGCGGUUGGAGGUUCGAAUCCUCCCGUCCCAGCCA